rnacentral:rRNA from 1 species
AGAGUUUGAUCCUGGCUCAGAACGAACGCUGGCGGCAGGCUUAACACAUGCAAGUCGAACGCACCGCAAGGUGAGUGGCAGACGGGUGAGUAACGCGUGGGAACGUGCCCUUCAGUUCGGGAUAACCCAGGGAAACUUGGGCUAAUACCGGAUACGUGCGAGAGCAGAAAGAUUGAUCGCUGAAGGAUCGGCCCGCGUCUGAUUAGCUAGUUGGUAGGGUAAUGGCCUACCAAGGCGACGAUCAGUAGCUGGUCUGAGAGGAUGAUCAGCCACAUUGGGACUGAGACACGGCCCAAACUCCUACGGGAGGCAGCAGUGGGGGAUAUUGGACAAUGGGCGCAAGCCUGAUCCAGCCAUGCCGCGUGAGUGAUGAAGGCCUUAGGGUUGUAAAGCUCUUUCGGCGGGGACGAUAAUGACGGUACCCGCAGAAGAAGCCCCGGCUAACUUCGUGCCAGCAGCCGCGGUAAUACGAAGGGGGCUAGCGUUGUUCGGAAUCACUGGGCGUAAAGGGCGCGUAGGCGGCCUGAUAAGUCGGGGGUGAAAGCCUGUGGCUCAACCACAGAAUUGCCUUCGAUACUGUCGGGCUUGAGACCGGAAGAGGUAAGUGGAACUGCGAGUGUAGAGGUGAAAUUCGUAGAUAUUCGCAAGAACACCAGUGGCGAAGGCGGCUUACUGGUCCGGUUCUGACGCUGAGGCGCGAAAGCGUGGGGAGCAAACAGGAUUAGAUACCCUAGUAGUCC